GAUGAACGCUGGCUACAGGCUUAACACAUGCAAGUCGAGGGGAAACGACGGGGAAGCUUGCUUCCCCGGGCGUCGACCGGCGCACGGGUGAGUAACGCGUAUCCAACCUGCCUCUGACUGAGGGAUAACCCGUCGAAAGUCGGCCUAAUACCUCAUGGCAUCGUCUGCGGGCAUCCAACGACGAUUAAAGAUUUCAUCGGUCAGAGAUGGGGAUGCGUCUGAUUAGCUUGUUGGCGGGGUAACGGCCCACCAAGGCGACGAUCAGUAGGGGUUCUGAGAGGAAGGUCCCCCACAUUGGAACUGAGACACGGUCCAAACUCCUACGGGAGGCAGCAGUGAGGAAUGUUGGUCAAUGGGCGAGAGCCUGAACCAGCCAAGUAGCGUGCAGGAUGACGGCCCUAUGGGUUGUAAACUGCUUUUAUGCGGGGAUAAAGUGAGGGAUGUGUCCUUCAUUGCAGGUACCGCAUGAAUAAGGACCGGCUAAUUCCGUG
rnacentral:rRNA from 1 species